GGGGAUAUGGCGAAAUUGGUAGACGCUACGGACUAAAAAAAUCCGUCGACUUUUAAAAUCGUGAGGGUUCAAGUCCCUCUAUCCCCA
rnacentral:tRNA from 1 species